rnacentral:rRNA from 1 species
CGCAAUGGGCGAAAGCCUGAUGGAGCAACGCCGCGUGCAGGAUGAAGGCUUUCGGGUCGUAAACUGCUUUUAUAUGCGACGAUUAUGACGGUAGCAUAUGAAUAAGGAUCGGCUAACUCCGUGCCAGCAGCCGCGGUCAUACGGAGGAUCCAAGCGUUAUCCGGAAUUACUGGGCGUAAAGAGUUGCGUAGGUGGCACUGUAAGUUGUUAGUGAAAGCGUCCGGCUCAACCGGGUACACAUUAACAAAACUACAGAGCUAGAGGACGAGAGAGGUACCUGGAAUUCCUAGUGUAGGAGUGAAAUCCGUAGAUAUUAGGAGGAACACCGAUGGCGUAGGCAGGGUACUGGCUCGUUUCUCACUCUAAGGCACGAAAGCGU